GACGAACGCUGGCGGCGUGCUUAACACAUGCAAGUCGAGCGGUAAGGCCCUUUCGGGGGUACACGAGCGGCGAACGGGUGAGUAACACGUGGGUGACCUGCCCUCAGCUCUGGGAUAAGCCUGGGAAACCGGGUCUAAUACUGGAUAUGACUCCAUGACGCAUGUUGUGGGGUGGAAAGCCUUGUGCGGCUGAGGAUGGGCCCGCGGCCUAUCAGCUUGUUGGUGGGGUGANGGCCUACCAAGGCGACGACGGGUAGCCGGCCUGAGAGGGCGACCGGCCACACUGGGACUGAGACACGGCCCAGACUCCUACGGGAGGCAGCAGUGGGGAAUAUUGGACAAUGGGGGAAACCCUGAUCCAGCGACGCCGCGUGUGUGAAGAAGGCCUGCGGGUUGUAAAGCAC
rnacentral:rRNA from 1 species